rnacentral:rRNA from 1 species
AUGAAGAAUCUGGUAUUCAAUAUCGUUCAUGGCAUUCCUGUCAAUUAUCACGACUUCUUCAUGAGGACUCUGGCAAAUGUUGCACUAUCUCCAUUUGAGCUGAAGCCUUAUGCACCUUGGAUUAUGAGAUUCCUCAGGACAAGGUCUUCACUCAACUACAAAGCUGAUUUUCAGAAUCACCUUAGCUACUUGUCCCCAAUUGAAAUCCUCAAGCAGACUUAUUCCUCAGUUGAUGGAAAGGGCAAGGCACCGAUUGUUAUUGAUGAAGGCAUUCAUCCAUUGGAUGGUCAAUUUCGCAAGGCUGCCUCUUAUUCCACCAAUGAUGACUCUGCCACACACGACUCUGCCAAUGCACCCAAGUCCACUCCUCAAGCCACUGCUCCGCGUGUGAUGACUGACCGUGAACUUUUGCUUAGUCUUCACCAGAAGGUGGAUCGAAAUCACAAAUGGGUUAAGCGUUAG